rnacentral:rRNA from 1 species
GACGAACGCUGGCGGCGUGCUUAACACAUGCAAGUCGAACGAAAAGGCCCUGCGUUUGUGGGUUGCUCGAGUGGCGAACGGGUGAGUAACACGUGAGUAACCUGCCCUUGUCUUUGGGAUAACUUCUGGGAACUGCGGCUAUUACCGGAUAGGAUCUCCUGCUGCACGUUGGGGGUUGGUAAGAUUCGGCGGUUGGGGAUGGACUCGCAGCUUAUCCGCUAGUUUGUCAGGUAGUGGUUUACCAAGGCUGUGACGGAUAGCCGGCCUGGGAGGGUGAACAGCGACAAUGGGACUGAGGGACGGACCAGUCGGCUACGGGACGCAGUAGUCGAGAACAUGGCGGAACGGGCGGGAGCCUGAUGUAGAGGUGUCGCGUGCGUAAAGAAGGCUUACUGGUUGUAAACCGCUGUCGAAGGAGACGAAGCGUGCGUGACGGUAAUGGGUCAAGAAGCACCGGCUAACUACGUG